rnacentral:rRNA from 1 species
CAACCCCUGUGACAUACCACUUGUUGCCUCGGCGGAUCAGCCCGCUCCCGGUAAAACGGGACGGCCCGCCAGAGGACCCCUAAACUCUGUUUCUAUAUGUAACUUCUGAGUAAAACCAUAAAUAAAUCAAAACUUUCAACAACGGAUCUCUUGGUUCUGGCAUCGAUGAAGAACGCAGCAAAAUGCGAUAAGUAAUGUGAAUUGCAGAAUUCAGUGAAUCAUCGAAUCUUUGAACGCACAUUGCGCCCGCCAGUAUUCUGGCGGGCAUGCCUGUUCGAGCGUCAUUUCAACCCUCAAGCACAGCUUGGUGUUGGGACUCGCGUUAAUUCGCGUUCCCCAAAUUGAUUGGCGGUCACGUCGAGCUUCCAUAGCGUAGUAGUAAAACCCUCGUUACUGGUAAUCGUCGCGGCCACGCCGUUAAACCCCAACUUCUGAAUGUUGACCUCGGAUCAGGUAGGAAUACCCGCUGAACUUAAGC